rfam:Triticum aestivum genome assembly, contig: Triticum_aestivum_CS42_TGACv1_scaffold_361137_4DS
UUACUACUCCCUCCGUCCGAAAAUACUUGUCAUCAAAAUGGAUAAAAGGGAUGUAUCUAGAACUAAAAUACGUCUAGAUACAUCUCCUUUUAUCCAUUUUUAUCACAAGUAUUUCCGGACGGAGGGAGUACAAA